rnacentral:rRNA from 1 species
UACAGAGGGUGCGAGCGUUAAUCGGAAUUACUGGGCGUAAAGCGCACGUAGGCGGACUCUUAAGUCGGUGGUGAAAUCCUGGAGCUCAACUCCAGAGCUGCCUUCGAUACUGGGAGUCUUGAGUCCGGGAGAGGUGAGUGGAACUGCGAGUGUAGAGGUGAAAUUCGUAGAUAUUCGCAAGAACACCAGUGGCGAAGGCGGCUCACUGGCCCGGUACUGACGCUGAGGUGCGAAAGCGUGGGGAGCAAACAGG